rnacentral:tRNA from 1 species
GUUUUAAUAGUUUAAUAAAAAUAUUAGUCUUGUAAACUAAAGUUAGGAAAUCCUUUAAAACU